CCCCGCCGUCGCACGGCGGCCGGUGCUUGCAGUUAGCCGCACGUAGCCACCCUCUGCUCGCCUCACGCCAGGAGAGCCCCCAGGGAAGGCGCUUACCGACCCAAGGAGUAGUUAAUUUUUCUCCUGGCCUGCCAUGGGCUGAUUUCCCGGUGAGGCUGUUGGCCCAAAGGAGCUGCGGUGCCUCAGGGUUGGCCAUCACCGGCACAUCGAGCGGUAAAGAAAAACAAGAAAACCCAGUAGUAAGGCAAUACUAUAAAUGAUGGCAGACCGGAGUUACUUAGCCCAAACUGGACUGAUUGGUUUCACACACAAAGUGUCCACUUUUUUCCAGGAGGAAAAAAAAAUACUUCUGUUAGCACCGGGAUGGAAGGAAUAAGGAAAGUACAAGAUUGGGAAAAGGCUGUUUACUAGCAAACUGUGUUGGCUGCCAUUGUGCCUUGACAUUCAGGACCUGAGCUGCCUGCCUCUUUGUUUCACCUUCUGUGCAGAAAAAACAGAGGAAGUCCAAGAAUUCUAGCAAGGAUGAAAAAUCAAUUUGCAAAAGGAAGGAAGACUACGAUGGGUAGUUAUACGGAAAAUGAAGAGUUACUCAUCCAGUUUCCCAAGAGCUUCAUAACGCUAGCAAACCUCAUGUACAACUUGUCAUGGGUGCUUUUAACCACUAGGAGCCGUAUUCAGACCAUCUCCCGCCUAUAACGGACCUGGCAAAUUUUAGCAUUUAGAUCAAGGGAAUAGUUAAGAUCUUCAGUCACCCAGGGCUGCCAGAUGCUGCAGUCACCUACACCUUAUCCUUAUGUCUGGGAUUGCCAGGCUCUCAUGAUGCCUGGAAAUGGUCGACAUGUCCCAGCCUGAGCUGAGACUUAAGCUCCGUUACAACACCAACUCGGAAAGAGGUACCUACCUCUAGUUUAGAUUUCCUUACUGUCCCAGUAUGAUCCCAUCCCACCCAGCACAGCCAGCCAGUAUUGACAGAGCUAGAGGGAGGGUUCUAGUGAUACUUACACAAAAAAGUUCUGCAAAAUUUGUAAAGGUUGUAAGCCUUACUGAUCCCAGAAGUGUUUGUAUCUAUAACUCUUACUUCUCAGACAGUUACUUCAGCUAAAGGCCCCAUUCUCAUUAAUGACCCAUCUUGUUUUCACAAAGCUCUGGGCUCCAGAAAGGUCUGGAAAGGGGGCAAUCAUGGCUUGGCUAGUACUGUUAAUUGUUAUGGGUUAUACACAUUUUUUCCUUCAGUUUGCCUGAAAACCUGAUGAUGUUGGGUGUUUGAUCGUUUGAAAUGUUCAUUCUUGCAAAGCUUGAAAUGUCUCUUCUGGGAGAUUUUGCACUUCAAUGAUAUUCAUCAUUUCAAAGCUCAGAUAUCACAAAUGCCUUUAGAAAAAGUAUGCUAGGUCAGCUGCAGAAAGACUGGAAUCUCUCUAUCCAUUGCCUAUUUUGCCAAACAGUCUUCAAAUAUGAGGAGCUUAAUGCAAAAAAUCCAGAUCUUUGCCACCUUUUUCAAACAAAUUCUGUCCAGUCUAACCAGUUCAUGCACACACAAAUUUGCAGGACAUUAACAAGCUUGUACAGAAUUCAAAAGCUUAGAAAGUUAUUUAGAAAGCAAACCUUUUGCUCGCUCUUUCAGUAUUCAAGAACCCAACAAAUCUGCAUUUAAAAAUGCAUAUAAAAUUUUCUAGGUACUAUGGCUGUGAUUUAUUAUAGCAACUUCCACAGCCUCACUACAUUGGCCACCUCCCUGGAAGCUGAAACACAUCUUCUCAUAUUUGCUAGCCUACUACAGGUGUGAGCAAGGAGGAUUAAUUAGUUGAUGCUUUGACAGGUAUUUAACUUUGUGUGAUGCAACAGAAUUGCAGUGCUGUGUGGUUCUCAUAGAAAGAACAAGUACUUAAUAAACACCUAAAUAAUCUACAGAUGAAAUUUGGUCCCCUGAGGUUUAGAGUUCAACAGGUAUAAGCCAAAUGCUGCUUGAUACAAUAGCAGGUAUGAGAAGACCCAGCACUGAAGGCAUCUGUAAUGAAGUAUGUGGCAUCACAAUGACCGGUGUGUUACAGUUUGGACAUAGGUAUGAAUCUUGUUUUACAAAAAAGCUGAAAGUCUAUGCUGCUAGCUACGUGUCUGUCUUGUGUGCUAGUGGCUACUGAAAUUGUCAUGCCUUUACCCCGCUGCCUUUGGCACACUACAAGCCUUCAUCUAUUUUACUGAAGUGUAACAUAAGCUACAUAAAACAAGCUGGUUGUACCUGACUUAACAGUUCUUCAUCUGCAAAGACUACAGAGCCAGAGCUUGAAAACUGUUGUGCUGGGCAACCAAACCAUGAGAACCAAAUAGGUGGGACCAGGCCACAACUGUGUGGCAGCAAUGCAGCAGAUGCACACCAGUCAAACUGGUGUCUACUGCAUGCUCCUCGUGCAUCUUCAGGGCUGGACCCCCUUACCCAGCCUGUCUUGUAACCCUGAGCAAACCAUCCUACCUGCCUGCCAGACAUUUCUCCUCUGUAAAAUGAGAAGGCUUCCCUCAUCCACGGGGAUAACUUCCUAACAUAUGCAAAGUGCUUCGAGACAUUCUGAUUAAAGGGGUAAAUUUGGAUGUUUUAUUUAGUAAUACAUGAAUUAUUUCAAAGACUGCAUUUCUAGCAUGUGAUGUUGAUACACUGUCAACUUUUUCUAAAAGGAAGCAAUGUUGUAACUGUGGAGUAGGUUAUUUUAAACUACCUAUGCAGAGAUGUCUUUCUAGCAACCUGCAAAACUUGCACAGUAGUUUUUGACCACCAGUGAAUCCUGGCUUCCUGGAAACUUGUACCCUGAUUGACUGCCUUCCAUAUCUAAAGAAGCAAAAUCACCAAGUGAAUCUUUUCCCACAAUAGCAGCACCUACAAGGUGUCCCUACACCUGGAUUCUCUAAUGGUGCAUGAGUUUCCAGCCUUUACUUCACUUAAGUAUGCUUACAGGUACUUUAAUUUCUACCCAUCUGCCUACUUUCACAAAGGUGGCAUGAACUUCUGUUCAGCAUUUUGCCCUUCCGACAUAUUUGAAUUAAAACAGAUUGAAGGUCUCUUUCCAGGCAGCACAGGACAUCCAAAUGUAGCCUUUUCCUCUGGAAUCCAGCACUGACUGGAUUUUUUGCUCAGCUUGCAUAUAUUGUUGCUGUACUCAGGAAGCACCUAGGUCUUUAUCUGAUCUCCGUGGCAAAAAACAAGGAUGGGUAAAUUUGCAAAAUCUGCUUUUUAUGUCCCUGCUUAGACAAAAUAAAAUAUAUUGAGAGAAGGGCUGACAACUUUCUGGAAGCAGCAAGAAACCUUCUCUGGCUACGUUCCCGACAUAAAAACAUCAAUUGUUGAGAUGCUAAUUAUGUUGUACACAUCUGUUACUUUUUGUGCUUUUCACAAGUUAAGAGUCGCUGCCACAGAUCCAGCUUUCAUGGAACUAGCCUCCCUGCUCUGCAGGGUUAAUGUUUGCAAACAAAUGCACAUUCAUUUGUUUAUGCUUAGCUGCAUGGAUGAUACACACAGUUAUGUGCAAACACCGCCUCAUUUUGUAGGUAGCAAGUCACAUGCCUAACAUUAAAGUGUAAGUCAUGUGCAAACUCAUCUCUGACCCUUGUUCAGAUCCCUGCUUACCCUCCUGUAUAUGAAUAUACAACAUUAGAUGGCACUGAAUACCUAAAUUGAAGCGCUCUUAAGUUUUAUUGAAGUAACAGACUGCAGCUCCUUUUGGUCUUUGCCAGCACACAGGUGGGAAGAGCCAUCUUGGUCCCAAAUUACAUGCAGAAGGCAGCACGCUUAAGCAACUUAUUAUAUUACUACAGUAUCUUAAAUGACUUCUAACAACAGUUCAGAGACCUCCUACCCAGGCUUGGCAGAGCCUGGCCUCCACGGCCUAGUAGUUGUGGGUAGCAGGUGGCCUGAAUUGCUCUCAUGACGACAGUAUGCCAUGUUAUUCCAUCUGUCACAGGCACCAUAAGGUAUGUCCACCCUGUAUAUUAAGCCUGCCAUGCAGAGUGAGCUGCCCAGCUGAGGCUGGUGUCUGCUUGUGAGCACUUUCAGCCCUCUCGUUUCUCUGUCUCCUUGAUCACUGAGCAGAGCUGAGCGCAGGGAUCAGCUGAACCAGAGGAAGGAGCAGCUGAACAGAAAUUGGGAGGAGCUUAGUGCCAUCCUAGCCCACCCUGUGAAGUUCUAACCCUGGGGUCUCCUAACCCUUGGCUAAAGGGCACUGUAGCCCAGAGGUUUUACAGUGUGAUCAGCAAGCCCAGGUUUGAUACAUCAUGUGAACACAGCCAUGGUAAGCAGAUGGGUGAAGUAAUAUUAUUAGGGUCUAUUAUAUUAUAAUAAAAUUGUAAUUAAAUAUAUGUAAUUAUAUAUAUUUAGACCCAUUUCAGGAUAUAGCCUAAAGAAAAAAAGUUGGGUGUGAUUCAGUGUGUUUUCCAAACUGUACAUAAAAUUACCAGCACUCUGGGAUUCAGAGAGGGGAAGGCCACUGCAUGCUCCACUGAUAAAACUGCUUGCUGGGAUCUGGCUUUGAAAUUUUUUGUGCUUGAUAGUCAAAAUGCUGUUUGUGCACAGCCCAAAUAGUACAAGGGACCAGCACAGCAAACAGCACUUCACCUGGGAAGAAUUGCCUGCAGGCUCCCAUGAGAGCAGAGAUUGCUUCUUCCCAUCACUCAGCAGAGCAUGAGGAUAUCCGAGUGCCAUCACCUCACUUGACAGGCUUUGAGAUGUGGUUUCAGUGGGUAGCUGCUAAUUUAAAUGUUCUGGCUAGAGGUUGUAGCACUUCAGAUACGCUUUUUAACUUCAAAAAAGGCACACCUGACAGUGCAAAUUAGUCACAGCUAAGGAAAACCUAAGAAAAUGCAUUAAAAUUAGAGCAAAGACGUGGCUCUCAGGAGAGACUGAUGUUUUCAUUAGCUGCAAAAUACAGAUAAGAUUUUGUGACUGCUUCCUAUUUACAUUUUGAGAGCCAGAGUUGCUGGAUAUUCCCUUCAAACAGGAGCUCUUGAGUGCUUCACACCUCAGCUGUUUUCCAUGAUUUCUGCACUAAUCACUUCUGGAAAAUUCAGUUCAAGCCCCUGUCUUACCUCUAAUGUAGGGAAGCUUCAAAAAUCUGAGGUAUAUUCUUUUUGCAUCCGUCUAUAUUUGUAUCACUACAAACAUUUUCCUGCUGUGUGGGUCUGCAGUAAAGUUCUUACUGUGAAAUUCUUGCCUUCUGUGGUACAAUAGAGAAGGAAAUCCGAAGGGAAAUGUCCCUUUUGUAGGUUUUGGGGAGGGCUUGUGAGCCAAAGCACAGCCAAACCAAAAUGCAGAUGAGGUCAAAAGGACAUACACAAGUGCCAGACGGUUCAGCCUCUCACCGCUCAUGCUGCACACCACAGCUGGAGCAGGAUAUUUUGCCAGGAAGUCACCUCCUAACCCCUGGUGGGAUUUCCCCUAGUAUGCAGAUCGCUCUGGUGUG